UUGAUCCUGCCAGCGGCCACCGCUAUUGGAAUUCGAUUAAGACAUGCGAGUCGAGAGUCGCAAGGACUCGGCGGACCGCUCAGUAACACGCGGAUAACAUGCCCUUGGGUGGGGGAUAACCUCGGGAAACUGAGAAUAAUACCCCAUAGAUCUAGAUGGCUGGAAUGCUUUUAGAUCGAAAACUCCGGUGCCCAAGGAUUGGUCUGCGGCGUAUCAGGUUGUAGUGGGUGUAACGGACCCCCUAGCCUAUGACGCGUAAGGGCCUUGAGAGAGGGAGCCCUGAGAUGGACUCUGAGACAUGAGUCCAGGCCCUACGGGGCGCAGCAGUCGCGAAAACUUCACAAUGGGGGAAACCCCGAUGAGGGAAUUCCAAGUGCCAGCACAUUGUGUUGGCUGUUCUCUGGUCUAAAAAACCGGAGAAGUAAGGGCCGGGUAAGACGGGUGCCAGCCGCCGCGGUAAUACCCGCGGCCCAAGUGGUGGUCGAUAUUAUUGAGCCUAAAACGUCCGUAGCCGGUCUUGUAAAUCCUUGGGUAAAUCGACCAGCUUAACUGUUCGAAGUCCGGGGAGACUGCAAGACUUGGGAUCGGGAGAGGUGAGAGGUACUUCUGGGGUAGGGGUAAAAUCCUGUAAUCCUAGAAGGACCACCGGUGGCGAAGGCGUCUCACUAGAACGAAUCCGACGGUGAGGGACGAAGCCCUGG
rnacentral:rRNA from 1 species